CUGGACAGGCUGGUUUGCUGCCAUGAUCCCUAGGCUACUCCCACUGCUCUGUCUCAGGCUGUGCGCUGGCCAAGGAAGCAGGGGGACUGAUGAGCCCCUUCCCAAGCCCACCCUCAGGGCCUGGCCCAGCUGGGUGGUGCCUCCCAGAAGCAAUGUAAGGCUGCGAUGCCAGACCCCGACCAAGGAUGUCGACUUUGUUC